CUGGAUGGUAGUGUAUUGGACUACCAUGGCAAUCACGGGUAACGGGGAAUUAGGGUUCGAUUCCGGAGAGGGAGCCUGAGAAACGGCUACCACAUCUAAGGAAGGCAGCAGGCGCGUAAAUUACCCAAUCCUGAUUCAGGGAGGUAGUGACAAGAAAUAACAACCUGGAGUUUAACAACUUCCGGGAUUGCAAUGAAAACAAUUUAAAGAACUUAUUGAGGAACAACUGGAGGGCAAGUCUGGUGCCAGCAGCCGCGGUAAUUCCAGCUCCAAUAGCGUAUAUUAAAGUUGUUGCAGUUAAAAAGCUCGUAGCUGAACUUCUCGUGGGCCGCCGUUCGCGGAGAGGCCCAUGAUCCGCUGGGGACUCGGUGUUCCUUCACUGGUUCGCCCCCAUUCCCAGCAGUUUACUUUGAAAAAAUUAGAGUGUUCAAGGCAGGCUUUCGCCAUGGAUACACAAGCAUGGAAUAAUGGAAAAGGACUGAAUCCAUUUUAUUGGUUAUUGGGUUUAGUAAUGAUUAACAGGGACAGUUGGGGGCAUUAGUACUUAAUAGUCAGAGGUGAAAUUCUUGGAUUUAUUAAAGACUAACUUAUGCGAAAGCAUUUGCCAAGGAUGUUUUCAUUAAUCAAGAACGAAAGUUAGGGGAUCAAAGACGAUCAGAUACCGUC
rnacentral:rRNA from 1 species